GAGACCUGUCCUCAUCUGUGCAGAAAUGAGUGGCCGACUCUGGAACCCAGGCUGUUGCUUACCACCUUGGUGGUGAAACCUCCAUACUCUAGUCCUGAAGGGGCGAGGCCUUAAGCAUUAUCCAAUCAGGGACACUGGGCUGGAAACCGUCCAAUCAGACACCCAGCUGGAGCGAACAGGUCGACUUCCGAGUUUGGCGGGGCCUUUGUCUCUCACUGCACCUGGAGCUCCAGGUCUCAUCUUCACUACUCUGUGUCCUCUGCUGCUGGAGGCCCAGCCCUGUGACCUGACGGUUUUGGGAGAUCCACAGCUAAGACGCCAGGACCUCCUGGAAGCCUAGAAAUGACUGGAGUGAGGUCCUACAGUUGUGCAGCCGCGCGAUCUGGGCUCACUGCAACCUCCACCUCCCGGGUUCAAGCAAUUAUCCUGCCUCAGCCUCCUGAGUAGCUGGAACUACAGUCAUGUGCCACCAUGCCCAGCUAGAGAGGUUUCACCAUGUUGGCCAGGAUGGCCUGGAUCUCUUGACCUCGUGAUCCGCCCGCCUCUGCGUUCCAAAGUGCUGGGAUUACAGGUGUGAGCCACCGUGUCUGGCGCCUCUUUUUCUUUUAUUUUUCCAGAGAACUUACCGGAAUGUUUUUGGGUCAAGAUUACCCUUUGGAAACUUUGUAGGAUGAUGUGUCCUCAGCCAACCUUCAGUUUUUUUCUGGUCCUGGGUUUUAGUACUUUCUGGGAAUAAACCAACAUACCCACUAUGGCUAUGUCUGCUAGAGUGUCUAGUGACUAUUAUCUCUUGGGUCAUUUUCUCCCAUAGGACCACCUGAAGCAUGGAGUGUAGACUUUCAAGGGAGCAGGUGGCAGCCUUGGGGCUGAAAGGCAUCUUCUGGUGCACUUUUUUUUUUUUGAAAAGCUAACCCCUUGAGACAUGAAGAUUGUCUUCACUCAACCUGGCUUUCAUUUCUAGGAGACACAUUGCUGGUCAGUCAAUCAGAUGCUGGUAUUGAGGGGAAAACAAAUAAUUUCUGUCUUCUGGAUUAUCUUGUGGGAGGGGCAGAAAAAUAGUGAAAAAACACUCCAAAAGACAAAAAACUGACCCCAGUGAGAUGGCAUAAAUAACUUACAAAGUAAAAUGCACCUGGGGCACUCACUGGGGCAUAGUGCAGUGUCUCCUGGGAGGGUGGUUAUUGCGCAUGUAAGUGAACAGGAUGGGGUGGGUGAUUGGAUCUGUACCUUGAAAAGAUUUGUUUACUUAUUUUGACCUCAGUUUUUUUUUAGACAGUCUCCCUCUGUUGCAUAGGCUGGAAUGCAGUGGCUUGAUCUCAGCUCACUGCAACCUCUACCUCCUGGGUUCAAGUGAUUCUCCUGCCUCAGCCUCCCGUGCAGCUGGGAUUACAAGCAUGCAACACCAAGCCUGGGUAGGUUUUUGUAUUUUUAGUAGAGAUGGGGUCUCACCAUGUUGGCCAGCUUGAUCUUGACCUCAGGUGAUCCACCUGCCUCACUCUUCCAAAGUACUGGGAUUACAGGCAUGAGCCAUAAACACUGUAUUCUACAAUCCUAUGAAUAUUAAGCCACAAUACUUACUUUGAAUUAAUCGCUUAAAUGGUUAUUUUAUUUAUACUUUUGAAAUAUAAAGUGUUUUAACUGAAGUAUAGUUGCAAUUUUUUUUCUUUUUCUUUUUUUUUUUUUUUGAGACGGAGUCUUGCUUUUUCAGCCAGGCUGGAGUGCAGUGGCUUGAUCUUGGCUCACAGCAACCUCUGCCUCCUGGCUUCAAGCGAUUCUUCUGCUUCAGCCUCCCGGGUAGCUGGGAUGAGAGGCGCGCUGCACCACGCCAAGGUAAUUUUUUUUGUAUUUUUAGUAGAGACGGGGUUUCACCAUAUUUGCCAGGCUGGUGUUGAACUCCUGACCUGGUGAUCCACAUGCUUCGGCCUAACAGAGUGCUGGGACUACAGGUGUGAGACACUGCACCUAACUGUAGUGGCAAUUUUUUUUUUUUUGAAACAGAGUUUCGCUCU
rnacentral:lncRNA from 10 species